rnacentral:rRNA from 1 species
UUAAGCGACCAAGCGUACACGGUGGAUGCCCUGGCAGUCAGAGGCGAUGAAGGACGUGCUAAUCUGCGAUAAGCGCCGGUAAGGUGAUAUGAACCGUUAUAACCGGCGAUUUCCGAAUGGGGAAACCCAGUGUGAUUCGUCACACUAUCAUUAACUGAAUCCAUAGGUUAAUGAGGCGAACCGGGGGAACUGAAACAUCUAAGUACCCCGAGGAAAAGAAAUCAACCGAGAUUCCCCCAGUAGCGGCGAGCGAACGGGGAGGAGCCCAGAGCCUGAAUCAGCAUGUGUGUUAGUGGAAGCGUCUGGAAAGGCGCGCGAUACAGGGUGACAGCCCCGUACACAAAAGCGCACAUGCUGUGAGCUCGAUGAGUAGGGCGGGACACGUGGUAUCCUGUCUGAAUAUGGGGGGACCAUCCUCCAAGGCUAAAUACUCCUGACUGACCGAUAGUGAACCAGUACCGUGAGGGAAAGGCGAAAAGAACCCCGGCGAGGGGAGUGAAACAGAACCUGAAACCGUGUACGUACAAGCAGUGGGAGCACAGGUUUACCUGUGUGACUGCGUACCUUUUGUAUAAUGGGUCAGCGACUUAUAUUCUGUAGCAAGGUUAACCGCAUAGGGGAGCCGAAGGGAAACCGAGUCUUAACCGGGCGUUAAGUUGCAGGGUAUAGACCCGAAACCCGGUGAUCUAGCCAUGGGCAGGUUGAAGGUUGGGUAACACUAACUGGAGGACCGAACCGACUAAUGUUGAAAAAUUAGCGGAUGACCUGUGGCUGGGGGUGAAAGGCCAAUCAAACCGGGAGAUAGCUGGUUCUCCCCGAAAGCUAUUUAGGUAGCGCCUCGUGAAUUCAUCUCCGGGGGUAGAGCACUGUUUCGGCUAGGGGGCCAUCCCGGCUUACCAACCCGAUGCAAACUGCGAAUACCGGAGAAUGUUAUCACGGGAGACACACGGCGGGUGCUAACGUCCGUCGUGAAGAGGGAAACAACCCAGACCGCCAGCUAAGGUCCCAAAGUCAUGGUUAAGUGGGAAACGAUGUGGGAAGGCCCAGACAGCCAGGAUGUUGGCUUAGAAGCAGCCAUCAUUUAAAGAAAGCGUAAUAGCUCACUGGUCGAGUCGGCCUGCGCGGAAGAUGUAACGGGGCUAAACCAUGCACCGAAGCUGCGGCAGCGACACUGUGUGUUGUUGGGUAGGGGAGCGUUCUGUAAGCCGUUGAAGGUGUGUCGUGAGGCAUGCUGGAGGUAUCAGAAGUGCGAAUGCUGACAUAAGUAACGAUAAAGCGGGUGAAAAGCCCGCUCGCCGGAAGACCAAGGGUUCCUGUCCAACGUUAAUCGGGGCAGGGUGAGUCGACCCCUAAGGCGAGGCCGAAAGGCGUAGUCGAUGGGAAACGGGUUAAUAUUCCCGUACUUGGUGUUACUGCGAAGGGGGGACGGAGAAGGCUAUGUUGGCCGGGCGACGGUUGUCCCGGUUUAAGCGUGUAGGUGUGUGUUCCAGGUAAAUCCGGUUCACUUUAACACUGAGGCGUGACGACGAGGCACUACGGUGCUGAAGCAACAAAUGCCCUGCUUCCAGGAAAAGCCUCUAAGCAUCAGGUAACAUCAAAUCGUACCCCAAACCGACACAGGUGGUCAGGUAGAGAAUACCAAGGCGCUUGAGAGAACUCGGGUGAAGGAACUAGGCAAAAUGGUGCCGUAACUUCGGGAGAAGGCACGCUGACACGUAGGUGAAGUGGUUUACCCAUGGAGCUGAAGUCAGUCGAAGAUACCAGCUGGCUGCAACUGUUUAUUAAAAACACAGCACUGUGCAAACACGAAAGUGGACGUAUACGGUGUGACGCCUGCCCGGUGCCGGAAGGUUAAUUGAUGGGGUCAGCGCAAGCGAAGCUCCUGAUCGAAGCCCCGGUAAACGGCGGCCGUAACUAUAACGGUCCUAAGGUAGCGAAAUUCCUUGUCGGGUAAGUUCCGACCUGCACGAAUGGCGUAAUGAUGGCCAGGCUGUCUCCACCCGAGACUCAGUGAAAUUGAACUCGCUGUGAAGAUGCAGUGUACCCGCGGCAAGACGGAAAGACCCCGUGAACCUUUACUAUAGCUUGACACUGAACAUUGAGCCUUGAUGUGUAGGAUAGGUGGGAGGCUUUGAAGCGUGGACGCCAGUCUGCGUGGAGCCAACCUUGAAAUACCACCCUUUAAUGUUUGAUGUUCUAACGUGGACCCGUGAUCCGGGUUGCGGACAGUGUCUGGUGGGUAGUUUGACUGGGGCGGUCUCCUCCUAAAGAGUAACGGAGGAGCACGAAGGUUGGCUAAUCCUGGUCGGACAUCAGGAGGUUAGUGCAAUGGCAUAAGCCAGCUUGACUGCGAGCGUGACGGCGCGAGCAGGUGCGAAAGCAGGUCAUAGUGAUCCGGUGGUUCUGAAUGGAAGGGCCAUCGCUCAACGGAUAAAAGGUACUCCGGGGAUAACAGGCUGAUACCGCCCAAGAGUUCAUAUCGACGGCGGUGUUUGGCACCUCGAUGUCGGCUCAUCACAUCCUGGGGCUGAAGUAGGUCCCAAGGGUAUGGCUGUUCGCCAUUUAAAGUGGUACGCGAGCUGGGUUUAGAACGUCGUGAGACAGUUCGGUCCCUAUCUGCCGUGGGCGCUGGAGAACUGAGGGGGGCUGCUCCUAGUACGAGAGGACCGGAGUGGACGCAUCACUGGUGUUCGGGUUGUCAUGCCAAUGGCACUGCCCGGUAGCUAAAUGCGGAAGAGAUAAGUGCUGAAAGCAUCUAAGCACGAAACUUGCCCCGAGAUGAGUUCUCCCUGAGACUUAGAGUCUCCUGAAGGAACGUUGAAGACGACGACGUUGAUAGGCCGGGUGUGUAAGCGCAGCGAUGCGUUGAGCUAACCGGUACUAAUGAACCGUGAGGCUUAACCUU